UACGAAGGGGGCUAGCGUUGCUCGGAAUCACUGGGCGUAAAGGGUGCGUAGGCGGGUUUUUAAGUCAGAGGUGAAAUCCUGGAGCUCAACUCCAGAACUGCCUUUGAUACUGAAAGUCUUGAGUAUGGGAGAGGUGAGUGGAACUGCGAGUGUAGAGGUGAAAUUCGUAGAUAUUCGCAAGAACACCAGUGGCGAAGGCG
rnacentral:rRNA from 1 species